CUCGUUCCUCCUGUGAACCCUAAGGAAACCCCAAAUCCUUUUCCCUUUUUUGGAGAAAGUUCUGAAAUUGUUCAAAUGAAAACCUAUGUUUUUCAUCACUGUUCUGCAUCUUCUCGAUUAAAAAACCAAUAUCUAACCCCUAACCCUAGAUUUGCUUUAAACAGAUUUGAUGUUCCUGCUGCUGAACAAGUCGAACCACGCAAACAAUUUUUAUAUCUGAAACUCACUAUUCUCGUAUAGCAGAUUUACAGUUUUUGUUACAUUUCUGAACAAAUCGAUUUGUGUUUCGAUUCUAGCACUGGUGGUGGUGAAGAAGAACCUAAUAUCUUCAAGCAAAGAAUCGAUUCAUUGGUAGUCUGUAUUGUCAAUGAUAAAAUCCUUUUCGCGAUUAAUUGGGGUUGCAGGUUACUUAAACUGGUAUUUAUUGUGAUUCCUGACGAUGAUGGUGUGGUGGUGGUGAUGAAGAAGAAGAUGACUCAGUUUGCUAAGAAGAUUGCUCUUCACCGUGCUUGUCUGUCUUAUGAGGUGGGGUUACUAGUUUGUUGGGAGCUCUAUAUAUAAUUCAAUACCUUCUUGUUGUAGCUGAGGAGACCCACUGGGUAGAUCAGCUUCAAACAAUAAGUUGUCUCCUAGUUCUAGAGAUGAAGAGAUGCCUCUUGGUCAGUUAGCUCCGAGCAGCAAGAAUCUUCAGACUGAAUCUGGACGAGGUACUUCACAAUAUCCAGACACCCCUGCUAAAGUUUUACAAGAUAUUGCAAUCAACUGCGGAUCGAAGGUAAUUAAAAAGGAUACUAUAUUACAUAAAUGCCUCCUGGUUGGUGUCUUAAAUAUAUUGUACUUCUGUGUUCUUAUGGGUUUGGUUCAGCGUGGAAAAGUAGGUGAGGGAAUUGGGAAGACGAGGAAGGAAGCCCAACAUCAAGUAGCAGAACGUUCUCUGAGGACUUUGGCUAGUAAGAAACCACCUAAUAUUAUUUCGAGUAUCUGUCUAUUGUUUACCAGUUGUUCAAAGUCCUGCUUUCAUUUUUCAUGAAGUGCAAAUAGUAUCUCUGCCUUGAAGUGAUAUGCUUCAUCUUUACAGCUUUAUUAUGAACUUAAACUAGCAGAGAAUCUUCAUGAUUUUGUCUCUGUUGGCAUCUUCUGUAGCAAUUGUUAAUGUACUUGUCUUCUGGUGAAACUCUUUAAUUGCCAUUCGUAUCUUUCUGUUUAGUUCUAAGUGAAGGGAACAUCUGAAGCAUGGCAUGCAUCUGUCCAAGUUUAUCUAGUUGCCAAUGACUUUGUUCAGUGACGCAGGCAUGCUAUCUUUCACUUUCUUCCAUCACCAGAGAGCAACUAUGUUAGAAAUAGUUCCAUCUUCUUACAAGAUAUUUGUCAACUUCAAUCACUAAUAUACCAGUUACAAAUUUUAACAUCUUGAUCAAGUUAAUUUUCUUUUCCCGUCUUGGAGAAUCUAACCUGUUUCAGAUUUUAUGGUGCCUCUGCUUUUGGCAUGGAGUAGUGCUGAUAUUUUAGACAACUGUUUUGUAGAUAACUAUUUAAUAAAGGCUAAUCCAUCAGAAAAGGAUUUUGGAUGGCUCUGAUGUCAUUCAUAAGUUUAGAGGAUUCAGAAACACCAAUAGCCAAAUAGCAACAUCUUUUAUAGAUGGAAAAUAUGUUGUAUGUGCAAGUGAAGAUUCUCAUUUUCAUGGUUUUCCCGUCGUUUGCCAGAUCAGUAACAGGUUUGUAAAACCGGAAAAGAAGAUUGUGGAUCUUGUUAAUAAGAUGCGAGAGCGACGGUCAUUCCUGAUGUAAUUUGCUGUUAUGGCAGAUUAGUUUUCUCUUUUCUUAAAACCUCCAUUUCUGUACACACCAACAAUUCUUUCAUACAAGGAUAAUCUCGAGGAUAUAUAGUGAAUAGUGACAACUUUUAGUGUCAGUUAGAGAAGGAAGUACGGCGAUUUCCUCUCAUCAUUAUGGUGGUGGACGGAAGCCGUGCAAUAACAUCUGAAGCAGAUGUUAACAUGAUGGGAUAUGCGAAUAUGGAACAUGUUACUUCUGGAGUUCACUCCAGGUUGAGGGCUCGUACUUUUAUUGUUGCAGAGCCCAAGGGGAAGAGGGUAGUUUUUGUUAAUUUUGAUGCUUGUAAGACCUCACAAAUAGUGACAAUUAAAGUGCUCGAGAGACUUAAGACAAGGUACAGGGAUUUGUAAACCGACCAGAAUGUGCCGCUGCAAGGUUCAUGGAAGACUGGGCUGAAAAGAAAGGUUCAUUUUUCGAGAAGUCUCAAACAUAGUUUCUCAUCUGCAUAGAAAUUGUGUUGAGGAGAGGAGCAAAUGGCUUCAAGCAUAGAUGCUUCAACUGAUGAUUGCCAUGAUCUCCUCAGCAAAGUUCAAGGUUCUUCAUUUUAGUUAUCUGAAAAAUGAUGAGUAUACUUGUCAAUCUUUUGAUAC